GCGGGUGUAGUUCAGCGGCAGAACAUCAGCUUCCCAAGCUGAGAACGCGGGUUCGAUUCCCGUCGCCCGCUCCA
rnacentral:tRNA from 1 species